rnacentral:rRNA from 1 species
UACAGAGGUGGCAAGCGUUGUUCGGAAUUACUGGGCGUAAAGGGCGCGUAGGCGGCCUUGUAAGUCCUGUGUGAAAUCCCCCGGCUCAACUGGGGAACUGCACAGGAGACUGCUUGGCUUGAGUUCGGGAGAGGGAAGCGGAAUUCCGGGUGUAGCGGUGAAAUGCGUAGAUAUCCGGAGGAACACCGGUGGCGAAGGCGGCAUCCUGGACCGACACUGACGCUGAGGCGCGAAAGCUAGGGGAGCAAACGGG